UACGUAGGGGGCAAGCGUUGUCCGGAUUUAUUGGGCGUAAAGCGCGUGUAGGCGGCUUGGUAGGUCAGCUGUGAAAACUCGAGGCUCAACCUCGAGCUGUCGGUUGAAACCACCUUGCUAGAGUCCGGAAGAGGAGAGUGGAAUUCCUAGUGUAGCGGUGAAAUGCGCAGAUAUCAGGAAGAACACCAAUGGCGAAGGCAGCUCUCUGGGACGGUACUGACGCUGAGACGCGAAAGCGUGGGGAGCGAACAGG
rnacentral:rRNA from 1 species